GGUUGUGUGGUGUAAUGGUAGCACGUAUCGUUGUGGAUGGCGCUUUGCCAAGCGUCCCUCAACGGCCCGAUACAAUCGCGGUUCGAUUCCGUGCACAGCCA